GGACGGCCCAGCCCGCGCCGCCGCCGUCAGACCAGUCGGACGGCUUCGCCCCCAGCCCGCCCCUCCCCGGCCGCGCCACAGCCAGCCCUUCCUCCCUCCCGGAAACCCAGUCAGUCCCUCCCGCCGGCGCCCCAGCAGGACGCGCCCGGCCCCCGCGCAGCCUCCGCCCGCAGCCCUGCGCUCCCGGCCAGCGCCCGGGCGCCGGGCCAUGGGGCAUCCGGGCCGGCGGGAGGCCGGAGCAGGAGCCCGGCGGGAAGUGGACACUGUAUUUUCUCUUCGUGGGGCCUAUGAAGAAGAGACAUUCAUUCAUUCAUUCAUUCAUUCAACUCAGGUGUUAGUACUGAGUGCUAACUACUAAUCAGGCAGUAGGAAGGAAAUGUUACCACUUGUCUCGUGUGUGGGGUGGCUGUCCAGACCUGCAGAUGGGCUCACGGCUUAAAGCACCGAGCUGCAUGACGGCUACAUUGCGAGGGCUU